rnacentral:lncRNA from 1 species
GUUGAGUAUGCCUCCCUGCCUCCAACUAGGACAUAAAGUUGAUCUUCCAUGUCAUUUUUCUUAAAAGUAACUCUAAAAUAAGUUUCUUUCAAACCUUCUAAAUUAUUCUCUUUCCCUAAUGGCUUGUUGUAUUCUUCCCCAGCAGAAAUGACUAAAAUAGCCCUAUUGCACUUAAUCUAAUUAGGGAUUUUUGGAGAAAUGGUGGUUACAUAGUUCUCAUUAACUGACUAAAAAACUGUACCAUCUCCAGAGGUAUAGAUAUUAAAAAGCGGGGGAGGGGGAUGAUUCCUUUUAAAGCUCCAGAAAUGAAUGUAAGUGUUCAUAUUCUGGUACAUUAACAGUUUGUUCCAGUACAUUGAUAUUUUAUGUGGAAGCCCUACUCUGCAAUUAAUAUGCCUGAUGCAAAUUGAAAAACCCAUAAUCCAUCCUUCUCUGUUGGAAUGUAAGAGUAUAUUAUUAUUGAGAAGCUACAGGAUACCAGAACCAUUUUUUAAACUUGACUGCUCAUUACCUUAAAUCUGCAUAUAAAACAGUUUUGCAUUCAGACGAGGUAAUACAUACCGGAAUAUAUUGUGGCGCAUAUUAAAAAAAGUGCUCCAAAUAAAAACGACCUGUGGGCUUCCUUUGUAGAAGAAAUUUAUGCAGUUCCAGGCAUUAGGGAUUAAUGAUAGCUAAGAGCAAAAGAGAAGGAAUGAGCAUUAAAACAUUGUGCCUAACUUUCCUGACUACCCCAAGGCUAAAAGACAAAGUGAAUUGUCAAAUCUCCUUAAAGGUAAGGACUAUGAAUUUAUAUUAAGUAAAUAUGAUAUUUGGGGAUUGCAUCUGGUUCUGUCACAUUAGUAUUCAGAAUAUUUCUUAUAGCUUUAAAGGAGAAAAGACAACCUUAAUGGAGGUAUGAGAGAAGAAAGAUUUUAAAAAUCCUUUGUUUCUAACAGCUUAGAGAGCCUCUUUCCUUUGUCUUGUUUCCAAAAUUAUGCAUACAAUUCUUCACAGGACAUAAAAUGCUAUUGUCUGCUAUGACUGACAAAAUCCAAGAUUUUAAUGGAAGUUAUACUGUAACUAUUUUAAAGGGAAGGGGAAUCACACAUCCCUAAGAGAUUCAAAUGUAAUAUAUUCUCAAAAAUGGAAAGAUCCCAGGGAUACAGAUUUCGUUCUUUCACGGAUUUCUCCUAAGCCUGUUCAAUUCAUUUGAUCAUCACCGCCUGUGAUCUGGGUUUUAUUAACAUUUUAGCAUUUGAUUGGACCCUUCUUACCUCUCUGUCUAUCCAUCACUUAAGACAUUUAGUGCUGCCUCCUGGCAGUUAUCUGUGUAAUUGUUUUAUUUCACUCACUAAGUGAUAAGAUCCUUGAGGCAAGACGCUAUGCGAUAUGGCCUGUAUCUUCCACAAUAAGUAAUCACAUUGAUUCAAAAGAUUCCCUCACAAUACAUUUUUAUUGCAAAAAUGAUUUUGUAUUUAUCCAUUUUGGAAAAGAAAUUUUAUCUCUUGAGCCCCUAAAAAUGGAAUUGUACACAUUAAGACCCUUACACAUAUCACAUAAUAAUCUUCAGGGUCAAACAUUAUAGUUUUCACCUGCUGCUAUUCCUUUGCAGUAGACUAGAAUAGAGAAUUAUAUAAAACUUCUAUGACUGUCAAAAAAAUGAUAUAUUUUUUGAAAUCAUGUAAAAUCAACCUUCUUUAUUUUACAGAUAUAGAAAUUUAGAUCUGUAAGGACCAUCAGUGUGGUGAAGGUCACAUGAUUUCAGAGAACGUAUGGAAGCACCUGG